GGAAGGAUGUGUGGAGAUGUUUGCAGAAAUUAGGGCUAGGCAUUGGCUUCAAAUGCUCUAUCUUUUGAAUACCCAAACUCUGACAGCUCUUUGGAUAGGGGAGAGACUAUAGGAAGCAUUAGCUCAAAAUGAGGGCUGAAGUGCUGAGAACAUCUGAACAGGGACCUCUCUAAAUUAGGUUUAACUAGUUCCUAUAAAUCAGGAUAGCUUUCUGUCUAGUGUCCUCAGAGGAUUACUAAAUUAGUCAGGAAGUCUAGAAUAUGGAGGUUUCCUCUACAAACCUGUAGGCUGGGUCUUCUGGAUCUAGUCUCAGAGGAGAAGGGGCUGACUUUUUUCUUGUACAGAGACUUGAGAGGUCUUCUUCAGACCUCUCAAGCCUUUAGCUCUAAUCUACAGCAGUACAGUACUUCAGCUAGACAAAAGAAACCUCUCCUGACUUCUGUCUCCCUUGUUAAACCUAUUAUGUCAGUAACUAUUGCCUGAUGGUAACUUAACUGUCUUCCCAACCUCACCUACCUUCCUCAACUGAAUGAAUUGAGUGAAGGGCUUUUUAGAAACAAGGCCAAGGAGCUCCCAAAAACCAGACCUGGUUCGGCACAUACGUAAUCGGAGGAAACCACCAGUUUGGAUCUGAAGAUGAGUUCUCAACUGCUUCAGUUGGCUUGGCAGAUAAGACAGGACUGGCCAGGUAUAGAGAAGAGGAACAAGCUGGCAAUCUGCCCUCAGAUGGAAUGAUGGCUGCUCACAAACAUGGAAGCAUGGAAGUCCCUCCCAGCUGUGCCAGUGGGCACUUAUGGCCUGUCAGUCACAUCCAAGUUCCUACCAGCCUGAAUUAUAUCGCGGCGUGACCCCAGCACACUGCUAGUCCCAGGUUUUCCUCCACAAAUGUGUGUCCUGCACUGUCCAGCUUUCCUAGUCAAUAUAAGCUCCUACAAAGUCUGCCAUUUUAUUAAUGAGCAUGAUAUACCUAUGUCCUGUUAUCCCAAAUGUAGUUCCCCAGACAUACUGGAUUAGAUACAUUACAAAUUUACAAACCGAUUGAGUAUAACUAAUGAGGCAUAAAUCAAAAAUAGUUACAAGACAAAGAGCAAAUGCAACUAAUGCCUAACUUAGCAAACUGUUAAAUUCAAAGCGAAGUUUUUCUCACAAUGUGCUCGCAUAUCAGUGAUGAAAGCAGAUUUCUUUUUCGGUGCAUCCUUAUCUAUAGGAAUCUGCCAAUACCCUUAAGUUAAUCAAAAACUGAGAUUUAGUUUUGCUUUAAAAUGUCCAGCAUGUUAAUUCUUGGCAUGGAAUACACAUCUGAUACUGUGCCAGCACUGAGUUUUCUAUAAUCACCACAAAACCUUAGUGUU